GCGCCAGUCACCUAGCUGUAGGAAGUCCGCUGUGCGAGGUUUCUGCGUCAUUUUCAGGCGCGCGUACCGCCUUUAUUUAUUUAUUUAUUUAUUCAUUUAUCGUUUAUCGAACUUGAGUCGAGCGUUAUUCUGCAAACGGACUUUAAACGGUAGGGGAUCAAGGGUUUGCCGAGCAACAUGGCUUUGGUAUCAGCUGAUUCCAGAAUUGCUGAACUCUUAGGAGAACUGCACCAGCUUAUCAAACAGACCCAGGAGGAACGAUCAAGAAGUGAACAUAAUCUUGUGAAUAUCCAGAAAACACAUGAACGGAUGCAGACAGAGAACAAGAGUGAGUGGAAAAUGCCAGCCUUAUAACACUUGUGAUGCAACAUUUUGAGUCUGUUGUGUUCCCCAAGUGCUAUAGAGUCAACGGAGUCAGUGUAUUCAAUUACCAUUACUCUUUAACAACUGCCAAUAGUUGCAAUAGCCAUGGAGGUUCUGAAGCCUGUAGGCAGUGGGAGUGAUUGUUUGCUGGAUCUAGAAGGC